GCUAGCGUGGCCGAGCGGUCUAAGGCGUUGGAUUUAAGUCACGGUGUGCCUCCCAAUGACAGGUUUGUCACGCGAGUUCGAAUCUCGUCGCUAGCA